GACGAACGCUGGCGGCGUGCUUAACACAUGCAAGUCGAACGGAAAGGCCCUGCGUUCGUGGUGUGCCCGAGUGGCGAACGCGUGAGUAACACGUGAGUAACCUGCCCUUCACUUUGGGAUAACUUCACGUAACUGGGCCUAAUACCGUACCGCAUCCCCCCCUCCAUGGUGGGGGUUGGAAAGUUUCGGCGGUCGGGGAUGGACUCGCGGCUUAUCAGCUUGUUGGUGGGGUAGUGGCUGACCAAGGCUUUGACGGGUAGCCGGCCUGAGAGGGUGGACGGCCACAAUAGGACUGAGGGACGGACCAGAGUGGUACAGGAGGCAGCAGUGGGGAACAUUACACAAUGAGAGGGAGCCUGAGGAAGCAACGCCGGGUGCGGAAUGACGGUCUUCGGGUAGUAAACAGCUGUCGCCUGUGACGAAGCGUGAGUGACGGUAAUGGAUGAAGAAGCACCGGCUAACUACGUG
rnacentral:rRNA from 1 species